rnacentral:rRNA from 1 species
AUUGAACGCUGGCGGCAGGCCUAACACAUGCAAGUCGAACGAGUGGCGGACGGGUGAGUAAUGUCUGGGAAACUGCCCGAUGGAGGGGGAUAACUACUGGAAACGGUAGCUAAUACCGCAUACCCUCGGAUGUGCCCAGAUGGGAUUAGCUCGUAGGUGGGGGAACGGCUCACCUAGGCGACGGUCCCUAGCUGGUCUGAGGGGGUGACCAGACACACUGGAACGGGAACACGGUCCAGCAUCCUACGGGAGGCAGCAGUGGGGAAUAUUGCACAAUGGGCGCAAGCCUGAUGCAGCCAUUCCGCGUGUAUGAAGAAGGCCUUCGGGUUGUAAAGUACUUGCAGCGAGGAGGCGUUACUCGCAGAAGAAGCACCGGCUAACUCCGUGCCAGCAGCCGCGGUAAUAC